rnacentral:rRNA from 1 species
UCCAGCUUUUCUCCCUUUCCCCUCGCAGCCACCACACAUUAACCCUAUCCCCACCCACGCUUUCUUUCCGGCGAUGGCGCCGCUGUUCUCUUCUCCGCGCACCGCCGUCUGCUCCGCGGCCGCUCCAUCUCCUCCUCACCUGCCUCACCUUAUCCCUUCCUCCUCCCACUCUCUCUGCCUUUCUGUGCUCCCGUGCUCCUAGUGUAGUGCCUCUUCCCGGCUCCCGCACCCAGAUGCGACCGCCUAGGGUUCGCUGCGGACGGAGAUGGCUACCACGGAGGUCGCCCCCUUCAGAUCUAGUGGCCCAGUGCUCUACCAGGUGCGGUAGUCAAGGAGGACGCAGCGUCGUCACCAGGCUGGUGUUGGGUGCGCUCUGGCCUUCCUUCCAGCUGGUGUGUACCUUGCUCUUGGGGUAGCGCCGAGCGACGGCAGCGACUACAAGAUGCAGCAGAAGCGGCGCAUGGCCAAAGAUCUAGGCCUCCGACCAUUAGCGGUUGUUGUUGUGGCAGAAGCGACGGUACAGAGUUCGCGCCUCCGCCCUGUUCAGCCUUGCCUCCAUCAACUCUGAAAUCCCCGGAUUCUUCCUCCAGGCAGCGGCGCAAUUUGUUAGCUUGCUCAUCAGUUGUGAUACCCCAUGGCCCCUGUCCGCACCUACUGGUGAGUUCUUCCCUAAUGCUUCUGUAUAUUCCUUUGGUUGUUACUUAUUGCAUGAGAAAAUAGGUUCCAUGCCUUUUCUUUCCCAUUUGAACCAUGUGAAGACCCGUUUCCAGUACUUCCAUUAAUUCCAUGCAUCCUCUGGUUCUGCUAUUAUUCUAUUAGGAUUUUACUGUUGAUUCAAACAUGCUAGUUAUUUAGCCUUUUUCUGAGACAUUCGUAGCUAUUUCUGAGAGUGCUCCUUCAGUAAAUAUAUUCUUACCUCUGUCAUGUCAGGGGCACUUAGACACGAAAGGAUAUGUUUCAGAUAUGAAGGUAUAAAAAUAUAUAAAGCAUCAUCAAGCAAUGGAGGAAACCAGAUCCCAAAAUCAGCAAAAAGAAAUGUAGAACUUCAUUAGUUCCUGGAGCAUAUACCUAGAUGAUCAUAGAUCAUGCAGGGUCAUAACAUGGAAACGCUCUUAGAAAGGUGGUUUAUAUGGAUGUUGUCCUCUGUUUGUCUAACCAAAAGCACGGCGAGUGUUACUACAAUGUACUCCCUCCGUUUCUAAAUAUAAGACCUUUUAGAGGUUUCAAUACGGACUACAUACGGAUGUAUAUAGACGUAUUUUAGAGUGUAGAUUCACUCAUUUUGCUUCAUAUGUAGUCUGUAUUGGAAUCUCUAAAAAGGAUUAUAUUAUUUAGGAACAAAGGGAGUAGUAGUUAUACUGUCGUUCACAGGAUAGUCAAGUGAUUAUUUUUCGCUUCUGCCUCACAUGGUUGUUGGUUGGAAAAAAGUUUAUAUCUUUUGUGCUACAUUGGUUUUCUCAAUUCCCAUGAAAUUUCUGACUGGACUGUCUCGGCCGUUGUUGUGUAUAUUUGUUUCCUUCUAAAAAAGAGGGGUUUUAUGCAACCCUUCAUAGACACUACCGCUGAUCUCGAGUGGCGAAAUGUUCUUUCUUGAACCUUCCAGUGGCGAAAUGUUAUUACUUAGGUUCAUGAAAUGGGGAAAAAAUCAUGAGUUUAAUUUUCUAGAGUACUGCAUCAAUAACCUAGGUAAAUAUGUUCUCCUUUGUUAGGUCCUUCCAGUUAUGUACUUUUGCUGCCACUAAUCGUGAACUAUAUUCAGCAUUGAGCAUUCUAAUUAUUCUUCUGCAUUGUUCUCUAUCUCGACAACUGCUGUAGUCCAGGCUGAAGCGAUGGCAUGUAUGAUUGAUGUAGUUUCAUCUCAAUAAGAACUAUUUGGUGUAUAGUAUGUUGGUCCCAGCCUACUUGCUGUAACUCUUGAUUUUGAUGGAUUUUGUUCAUGGCUUUGAUUAUACAAUCUAGAAUUUGUACCGUUUUGAGCCAAAUUCAACAGAGUAUAUCAUCCAAUGCUAAUGGUUUCAAUUAUCAUGGUAUAUUCAAGUCAAAGCUAAAUACUAUUCUGUGCCCGCCUACCUUGGCAAAGAUUGCAGGUUAAACUACUUUGGUGCUGUAGGUUCUUUUCUUCUUACUCUUAUUCUUUAGGUUUUAUUUGUUAUUCCUAUUUCCAUUCAGGGAGAAAAAAGCUGGGAACUGUUUGGACAAAUGUACCUUUUAAGUGUUCUCCCUUCCUGCCCAAAACAAUGUUAGGUGGGCUAAGAUAAUACUGUUAGGCGUUCAGAAAGAGUCACAUCUAUAAUUAGCUUUCAGCUUGAUAUAUCCAGUGUGAACUACUGGAAAUAUGUACAUCUACUGAAAGAGUCAUAGUUAUAUAUAUUUAGCUUUUAGCUCACUGUAUCCAAUAUCUGUGAAGUUGUAUGUUUAUUGUUUUGGAAAUAAGUGUGGGAAUAUUGGCUGCUGCUACCUAUGUACAGUAACUUAAGUGUGGGAAUAUUGGCUGCUGCUACCUAUGCUCAGGAAUCGUACAAAGUAAAUGACGCAUUUCCUUUCAAUUGAUAGACAAAAAGUGGACGGGGGGCUUCCAUGCCACAUCCAUGGCUAUUGCUGGAAGUUGAGCUGUCUUCAUGUCCCAAAAUGCUAGUUUUAUAGAUUAUGAAGCAACCAUAAGGAUUGGACUCAGAAAGAACCAUGAAGCCAACGGUCCAUGUCAACUAGAUGUUUGAGCUUUCAUUUUGUACAACUGAUGCAUCAUACUUGCAUCUUUUAUCUGUCCUUUUGUGAACAUGAUGUAUGGUGUUUUGGUGGUUAUAUUUAGAGCAGACUGAAGUGUAUGUAUGUGACAAUUAGUUAAUGGAAUAAAAAAUGUUUGGUGCACCUGAAA